CCUAGGGGGGCAGCAGUGGGGAAUAUUGGACAAUGGGGGAAACCCUGAUCCAGCCAUGCCGCGUGUGUGAAGAAGGCCCGAGGGUUGUAAAGCACUUUCAGUUGGGAAGAAGGGUAGUUAGCUAAUACCUAGCUAUCUUGACAUUACCUUCAGAAGAAGCACCGGCUAACUCUGUGCCAGCAGCCGCGGUAAUACAGAGGGUGCAAGCGUUAUUCGGAAUUACUGGGCGUAAAGCGCGCGUAGGCGGAUUGUUAAGUCAGUUGUGAAAGCCCUGGGCUCAACCUAGGAAUUGCAUCUGAUACUGGCAGUCUAGAGUUUAAGAGAGGGAAGGGGAAUUCCAGGUGUAGCAGUGAAAUGCGUAGAUAUUUGGAGGAACAUCAGUGGCGAAGGCGCCUUCCUGGCUUAAAACUGACGCUGAGGUGCGAAAGCGUGGGUAGCGAACGGGAUUAGAUACCCGAGUAGUC
rnacentral:rRNA from 1 species